CCCGCUGAACUUAAGCAUAUCAAUAAGCGGAGGAAAAGAAACCAACAGGGAUUGCCCUAGUAACGGCGAGUGAAGCGGCAACAGCUCAAAUUUGAAAUCUGGCCCUAGGCCCGAAUUGUAAUUUGUAGAGGAUGCUUCUGGUGACGUGCCUUCCGAGUUCCCUGGAACGGGACGCCAGAGAGGGUGAGAGCCCCGUAUGGUCGUGCACCGAGCCUCUGUGUAGCACCUUCGACGAGUCGAGUAGUUUGGGAAUGCUGCUCAAAAUGGGAGGUAAACUUCUUCUAAAGCUAAAUACCGGCCAGAGACCGAUAGCGCACAAGUAGAGUGAUCGAAAGAUGAAAAGCACUUUGAAAAGAGGGUUAAACAGUACGUGAAACAAUUGAAAAGGAAGCACUUGUGACCAGACUUGUGCCGUGCAAAUCAUCCGGCGUUCUCGCCGGUGCACUUUGCGCGGCUCAGGCCAGCAUCGGUUUUCCUGGGGGGACAAAAGUCCAGGGAACGUAGCUCUUCUCGGAGAGUGUUAUAGCCCUGGGCAUAAUGCCCUCGGGGGGACCGAGGUUCGCGCUCUGCAAGGAUGCUGGCGUAAUGGUCAUCAGUGGCCCGUCUUGAAACACGG
rnacentral:rRNA from 1 species